CACAGGUCCAUUCAGGGUGAUUUUCCAGGGGAAGGUGGGGAAGGGGUCAGCAGCCAUUGCCGUGGAUGACAUCCUCAUCGACAACGCAGAUAUCCUUGAGCAAGAUAAAGCGCCCUCAACUCCACCGUCUUUGGAAAAUACAAACUUAACGACAUCAACG